rnacentral:rRNA from 1 species
UACGGGGGGAGCAAGCGUUGUUCGGAUUUACUGGGCGUAAAGGGCGCGUAGGCGGCCGGCACAAGUCAGUUGUGAAAUCUCCGGGCUUAACUCGGAAAGGUCAACUGAUACUGUGCGGCUAGAGUGCAGAAGGGGCAACUGGAAUUCUCGGUGUAGCGGUGAAAUGCGUAGAUAUCGAGAGGAACACCUGCGGCGAAGGCGGGUUGCUGGGCUGACACUGACGCUGAUGCGCGAAAGCCAGGGGAGCGAACGGG